GGUGGGCCAUCAGACCAGCUCAGAUGAGAAGAGUGACCAUAUAGUUCAUCCAGCCUGAGAGCAGUGAAAGAAACUGAGAAUCCCUGCUGAAGGGCUGCAUCUGUUAUGAAAAUCAUCUUCCAGCCAUGGCUUCAGUUUCUUUUGCAAGAAAUCAAUUCCUUGGUGAAGCUACUUCUCACUUACAGUGUAAGAUACAAUAAUAGACUAGGAGAAAAAUGCAUUUUUGGCACCUUUUGGCUUAACCUACUUGAAAAUGAACUUCUCCAGCUUCCAAAAUGAGCAAACUUCUCUGCAAGAAGGGUUGCAAGGGGAAGUCAAUCUGUUUGUAGAGCAGUGAAGAAGUGUGAUAAAUUCAGAUCUUAAAUUCUUCAGCUUUUACACGGAUGCCACUCAGGCAGACUUCUCAUUCUCUUUAAUAACCAUCGUGCUUCGAUAGAAAUCAAGUACAGGCCUCAGGAUUUGUCCACACAGCCUAACAAAUCCCAGCAAAUAUUGAUUAAAACUGAAAUGAAGCUAACAGGAACAGUCAAAGCUGACUGCCUAAUGCAAGUGAUUUAUUACACAACGCUAUGUUUUUCCUCUGGCUGAUGUGCAAGUAGGCUCUGAAUACUAGUCCUGAAUUAGAGGAAUUAUCCUGUUCAGCCACUCAACAAAUUCUGGCUGAUGCAAAUGCUCCUUACUGAAAGAACUGAGUCACAAUUUCACGAAGAAACCUUUUUCCAGCUGUAACUGCCUUAAAAAAGGAGCGUUUGAACAUCAUUUCUAUGAGCGCCAUCUGGUGAUUUCCCAGCAAGGGCUCACGUUCCCAAGCCAAAUGACAAAGCCAGCUAGCAGUUCAGCUACAACUUACGCCUGUACGUGCUCUCCGAGAAGUUGGUGCAAGUAUAAAAUACAGGGUGAUAAUUUCAGCUUUAUAAGUAUCUGCUUGCUGCAGAGAAAUGCAAACGGAAUUCGAUUCUGUAUGUCAUUAGUGCUCUCUCUGCCUUGCUUUAUCUCAAGAUCUCAGUGCCUUCUCCUAAAUCUAACACGUAAAUAUCACCACAUCCUUUUCUGAAGGGCUGUUAACAUUCUUGGCAAUAUAAGCUAGAAAAACCAAGGUGAAGAGGAAUAAUCCAUUCUAGUCCAUACAGUAAAGCAGAGCCCAGCUCCCAGUUUUCCGGAUCUGUGCUCCUCUCACUAAAGCAUAUUUGCUUUAGUAAUCCAAUCUCUCCCAAUGUUAAUUUUGCACUAGUUUCUGUUUUGUUAAUAAAAUCAAAUGUCAGCCUU